AUUGAACGCUGGCGGCAGGCCUAACACAUGCAAGUCGAGCGGAUGCAGGGAGCUUGCUCCUGGAUUCAGCGGCGGACGGGUGAGUAAUGCCUAGGAAUCUGCCUGGUAGUGGGGGAUAACGUCCGGAAACGGGCGCUAAUACCGCAUACGUCCUGAGGGCGAACGUGGGGGAUCUUCGGACCUCACGCUAUCAGAUGAGCCUAGGUCGGAUUAGCUAGUUGGUGGGGUAAAGGCCUACCAAGGCGACGAUCCGUAACUGGUCUGAGAGGAUGAUCAGUCACACUGGAACUGAGACACGGUCCAGACUCCUACGGGAGGCAGCAGUGGGGAAUAUUGGACAAUGGGCGAAAGCCUGAUCCAGCCAUGCCGCGUGUGUGAAGAAGGUCUUCGGAUUGUAAAGCCCUUUAAGUUGGGAGGAAGAGCAGUAAGUUAAUACCUUGCUGUUUUGACGUUACCAACAGAAUAAGCACCGGCUAACUUCGUG
rnacentral:rRNA from 1 species